UACGUGAGGGGCAAGCGUUGUCCGGAAUCAUUGGGCGUAAAGCGCGUGUAGGCGGUUCGAUUAGUCUGCUGUGAAAGUCGGGGGCUCAACCCUCGAAUGCCGGUGGAUACUGUCGGGCUAGAGUGCGGAAGAGGCGAGUGGAAUUCCUGGUGUAGCGGUGAAAUGCGCAGAUAUCAGGAGGAACACCAAUUGCGAAGGCAGCUCGCUGGGACGUUACUGACGCUGAGACGCGAAAGCGUGGGGAGCAAACAGG
rnacentral:rRNA from 1 species